GGGGGUGUAGUCAAGUUGGGUAAGCACCUGCCUUGCAAGCAGGGGGUCAAGAGUUCGAAUCUCUCCAUCUCCA
rnacentral:tRNA from 1 species